rnacentral:rRNA from 1 species
UACGUAGGGGGGCAAGCGUUGUCCGGAUUUAUUGGGCGUAAAGAGCGUGUAGGCGGCUAGGUAGGUCCGUUGUGAAAACUCGAGGCUCAACCUCGAGACGCCGGUGGAAACCAUCUAGCUAGAGUCCGGAAGAGGAGAGUGGAAUUCCUGGUGUAGCGGUGAAAUGCGCAGAUAUCGGGAGGAACACCUGUGGCGAAGGCGGCUUUCGUGGGCCCUACCUGAC